rnacentral:rRNA from 1 species
AUACGUAGGGAGCGAGCGUUACCCGGAAUUACUGGGCGUAAAGCGCGCGUAGGCGGUUUGGUCAGUCGGAUGUGAAAGCCCUAGGCUCAACCUGGGAAUGGCAUUCGAUACUGCCUGACUAGAGUAUGGUAGAGGGAAGUGGAAUUUCCGGUGUAGCGGUGAAAUGCGUAGAUAUCGGAAGGAACACCAGUGGCGAAGGCGACUUCCUGGGCCAAUACUGACGCUGAGGUGCGAAAGCGUGGGAAGCAAACAGGAUUAGAAACCCGGGUAGUCC